GCUUACGGACAUACAACGUUGAAAGCACGCCAUCUCGAAGUUAAGCAACGUUGGGCCUGGUUAGUACUUGGAUCGGAGACGGCUUGGGAAUCCCAGGUGUCGUAAGCU
rnacentral:rRNA from 1 species